GACAGAGGGUGCAAACGUUGUUCGGAAUUACUGGGCGUAAAGCGCGUGUAGGCGGCUCUGCAAGUCGGAUGUGAAAUCCCUCGGCUCAACCAAGGAAGUGCAUCCGAAACUGCUGUGCUUGAGUACUAAAGAGGAUCGCGGAAUUCCCGGUGUAGAGGUGAAAUUCGUAGAUAUCGGGAGGAACACCAGUGGCGAAGGCGGCGAUCUGGGUAGAUACUGACGCUGAGGUGCGAAAGCGUGGGGAGCAAACAGG
rnacentral:rRNA from 1 species